GGCGCUGUGGCUUAGUUGGUUAAAGCGCCUGUCUUGUAAAAAGGAGAUCCUGAGUUCGAAUCUCAGCAGUGCCU
rnacentral:tRNA from 1 species